rfam:Micrococcus sp. HMSC067E09 Micrococcus_spHMPREF2863-1.0_Cont268.1, whole genome shotgun sequence.
ACGGACCGGUGGACGGCCGCGGCCCGCACCGUCCACGGUGCGGGGUGAGGAACGUCCGGGCACCACAGGGCUGGAUGGUGGGCAACACCCACUCGGGGCGACCCGCAGGCCAGUGCCACAGAGAGAAGACCGCCUCCGCUGCUCGCAGCGGGGGUAAGGGUGAAAGGGUGGUGUAAGAGACCACCAGCGGCCCCGGUGACGGGGCCGGCUCGGUAAACCCCAUCCGGUGCAAGGCCGAACAGGACGCGUCACGAGGGCUGCCCGCCCCAGCGUCCGGGUUGGCCGCUCGAGCCCGUCGGCGACGGCGGGCCUAGACAGAUGGCCGUCGCUGCGUUCCAGGGCAACCGACGCGCAGAACAGAACCCGGCGUACAGCCGGUCCGUCCCC